rnacentral:rRNA from 1 species
AGCAGCCGCGGUAAUUCCAGCUCCAAUAGCGUAUAUUAAAGUUGUUGCAGUUAAAAAGCUCGUAGUUGAAUUUCGGGGUCUGUCCGUCGGUCGGGCUUUACGGUCCGUACUGGUGUGAUGGGUUCCUACCUUCUGAAUAACCGGCAUGCCAUUCAGUUGGUGCGCCGGGGAAGCAGAGCUAUUACCUUGAAAAAAUUAGAGUGCUUAAAGCAGGCUAGUGCUUGAAUAGAUUAGCAUGGAAUAAUAAAAUAGGACGGCAUGGUUCUAUUUUGUUGGUUUCUAGGAUCACCGUAAUGAUUAAUAGGGAUAGUUGGGGGCAUUAGUAUUCAAUUGUCAGAGGUGAAAUUCUUGGAUUUAUUGAAGACUAACUUCUGCGAAAGCAUUUGCCAAGGAUGUUUUCAUUAAUCAAGAACGAAAGUUAGGGGAUCGAGACGAUCAGAUACCGUCGUAGUC